rnacentral:rRNA from 1 species
UACGUAGGGUGCAAGCGUUGUCCGGAAUUAUUGGGCGUAAAGAGCUCGUAGGCGGCUUGUCGCGUCGACUGUGAAAACCUGGGGCUCAACCCCGGGCCUGCAGCCGAUACGGGCAAGCUAGAAUUCGGUAGGGGAGACUGGAAUUCCUGGUGUAGCGGUGAAAUGCGCAGAUAUCAGGAGGAACACCGGUGGCGAAGGCGGGUCUCUGGGCCGAUAUUGACGCUGAGGAGCGAAAGCGUGGGGAGCGAACAGG